AAUCCCUUAAAAGUGGUCAUGUCUAAUGUUUUUACCUCAGCUUUUUUAUUUUUGCAGUAAUCUCUCAAUAAAAUGAAAAACAUUUCACAAUUCCCUCAUACCCCAUAAUAAAUUUGUUUUAACAUAAAAUAAGACAUUUAUGCCCUCAUUCUUCUUAACUGAAAUACAAAAGAAGAAAUUGAAAACAAUUCCAAUAUUGUUAUCCUGAUCGGCCUGUGGUGGUUAGACCGACGGCGCGGAGGUCUCACUGCCGGAGACAUAAAGAUCCAUCGCCGACAAAAAGAUGAAGAGUUGAAGAGUUUGAUUUACCACCAGUGCGGUGGUCACCCAUCUUACCAAUUUCAUAAAUAAGUGAAGGAAGCGAAUUUGGUGUUGUGACUCAAAGGAUUAGAGAAGAGAGGGGUUAAUUUCAAGAUUUCUGCUUUACAUUUCUAGAUUUAGGAUUUAUUUUUACUUAUAUUAUACACAUCACUAAGUUUCUUAUUUUUUUGUUAUGAAAAUAGCUUCUCUCUGGCUUUCGUUUCCUCUGUUUUGCUCGCUUUUAUGUAUCUUAUUCAAUUGCAUACACUUUUUAUGUUGGUGGUAAUGAUGGUUGAGUCUAAAAUCCACAUGAGAAUUAUAAUGAAUGGGCUGGUAAAAACAGAUUUUAGUCGAUGAUUCUUUUGGUAAGUUUUUUGUUUGUUCAUUUUGAUAAGUUUGCUUCUGUGUGCUGUGAUUAUUUGUUCAUUUUAGUGUUAUUUUUGUGUGCUUUGUUUCAGUGUUCAAUUUAAAGAAUGGGACGAAAUAAGUUUUGUUAGUGAGUAAACAUGAUUAUUACAAUUGCAACACAAAGAAUACGAUAAUGAUGAUUAUUACAAUUUUUCAAAUGUGCAGGAAAUUGCAAUUGUUGCAUUUUUGAGGAAUUUUGGAUGUAUUUGCAGGUAAUUAACUACAUAUAUGAAAAUCUUACUGAUAUAUCGAAAGUUUGCUUGUUUAUCGAUUGUUUUCAAUAUUCUUUUCAAUAUUUAGACGAAACUAUGAGUAAUUUAGCAUUAGGUUCCCUUGCUAAUGUAAUUUUAUGUUCAUCAUGCAUUUAAGCACUGUUUUAGAUAUGCGUGUUUCAUCUGCGGAGGAAAUGCAGUUUGGUUAGGGUGAAUGCAAUGGAAAGGUUGUGAAAGGGAUGUUUGUAAAGCCAAAUAAAGAGAUAUGGGACAUGUUUUUUUUUUUGUAGAACAUAUAAUAAUGCUAUAGAAGCUUGUAUUAA